GUACUCACUUUUGCAGCACACAUUCUAAAAUUGGAAUGAUACAGAGAAAAUUAGCCUGGACCCUGCGCAAGGUUGACAUGCAAAUUCAUGACGUGUUCCACAGUUUU
ensembl:snRNA U6 U6 spliceosomal RNA